GGAGGUGUGGCAGAGCGGUUGAAUGCACCGGUCUUGAAAACCGGCGACGGCUUACCCCGUCCGUGAGUUCGAAUCUCACCGCCUCCGCCA
rnacentral:tRNA from 1 species